AGAAUCAACGCUGGCGGCGUGCCUAACACAUGCAAGUCGAACGAGAAAGGGGAGCAAUCCCUGAGUAAAGUGGCGCACGGGUGAGUAACACGUGACUAACCUACCCUGGAGUGGGGGAUAACUGAGGGAAACCUUAGCUAAUACCGCAUAAUACCUACGGGUCAAAGGAGCAAUUCGCUUCAGGAGGGGGUCGCGGCCGAUUAGUUAGUUGGCGGGGUAAUGGCCCACCAAGACGAUGAUCGGUAUCCGGCCUGAGAGGGCGCACGGACACACUGGAACUGAAACACGGUCCAGACUCCUACGGGAGGCAGCAGUGGGGAAUUUUGCGCAAUGGGGGAAACCCUGACGCAGCAACGCCGCGUGGAGGAUGAAGUACUUCGGUACGUAAACUCCUUUCGAUCGGGACGAUAAUGACGGUACCGGAAGAAGAAGCCCCGGCUAACUUCGUGCCAGCAGCCGC
rnacentral:rRNA from 1 species